UCCUGGCGACCAUAGCAGUUUGGAACCACCUGAAUCCAUCUCGAACUCAGAAGUGAAACAGACUCGCGCCGAUGAUAGUGUGAGGCUUCCUC
rnacentral:rRNA from 1 species